rnacentral:rRNA from 1 species
GAUGAACGCUGGCGGCGUGCCUAAUACAUGCAAGUCGAGCGAACAGACGAGGAGCUUGCUCCUCUGACGUUAGCGGCGGACGGGUGAGUAACACGUGGAUAACCUACCUAUAAGACUGGGAUAACUUCGGGAAACCGGAGCUAAUACCGGAUAAUAUAUUGAACCGCAUGGUUCAAUAGUGAAAGGCGGUUUUGCUGUCACUUAUAGAUGGAUCCGCGCCGCAUUAGCUAGUUGGUAAGGUAACGGCUUACCAAGGCGACGAUGCGUAGCCGACCUGAGAGGGUGAUCGGCCACACUGGAACUGAGACACGGUCCAGACUCCUACGGGAGGCAGCAGUAGGGAAUCUUCCGCAAUGGGCGAAAGCCUGACGGAGCAACGCCGCGUGAGUGAUGGAGGUCUUCGGAUCGUAAAACUCUGUUAUUAGGGAAGAACAAAUGUGUAAGUAACUAUGCACGUCUUGACGGUACCUAAUCAGAAAGCCACGGCUAACUACGUG